rnacentral:rRNA from 1 species
AUUAAAGUUGUUGCAGUUAGAAAGCUCGUAGUUGGACUUGUGUGCGCUGUCCGCGGGUGGCCUGCGCCCAAAAGGGCGUUUCGGUUCGGCCCCGGUGGCGCCUUGAAAUCUGCAGCUGGGGGGACGUUGGCCUUAACUGGUCGGCGACCGCACGCCGGCUGCUCGGUUACUGUGAGAAAAUUAGAGUGUUCAAGGCAGGCAUUGGGUGCAAUUGAAUACAUUAGCAUGGAAUAAUAAAAUAUGGCUCCUGCCGUAUUUUGUUGGUUUUGACUGGUGGGAGUAAUGAUUGAUAGGGACGGUUGGGGGUGCUAGUAUUGAGCGGCCAGAGGUGAAAUUCAUGGAUUCGCUCAAGACUAACUUAUGCGAAAGCAUUCACCAAGGUCGUCCUCUUUAAUCAAGAACGAAAGUUGGGGGAUCGAAGACGAUCAGAUACCGUCGUAGUCUCAACCAUAAACUAUGUCGACUUGGGAUCGGCGGUAGUUUUUUCAUUAAGACACUGUCGGGACCACGGGAGAAAUCAAAGUGUCUGGACUCUGGGGGAAGUAUGGUCGCAAGGCUGAAACUUGAAGGAAUUGACGGAAGGGCACCACCAGGAGUGGAGCCUGCGGCUUAAUUUGACCCAACACGGGGAAACUUACCAGGUCCAGAGAUGUAGAGGAUUGACAGAUUGAAGCUCUUUCUUGAUCACUUCGGUGGUGGUGCAUGGCCGUUCUUAGUUGGUGGAGUGAUUUGUCUGGUUAAUUCCGUUAACGAACGAGACCUCAGCCUGCUAGUGUAGUCGGCUGGAUUGCCUUUGGCGAUCCGUGAUUUCGACUUCUUAGAGGGACAAUCGACGCGCAGUCGAUGGAAGUUUGAGGCAAUAACAGGUCUGUGAUGCCCUUAGAUGUUCUGGGCCGCACGCGCGCUACACUGCUGGGCUCAGCGAGUUUUACUUGGCCGAGAGGCCCGGUUAAUCUUGUGAAAUCCCAGCGUGCUUGGGCUCGCCUCCUGCAACUGGAGGCGCCAACGAGGAAUUCCUAGUAGACGCAGGUCAUCAACCUGCAUCGAUUACGUCCCUGCCCUUUGUACCACCGCCCGUCGUUCCAUAAGAGUGAGGCAUCCGGUGAAUUCUCGGGAGAGCCUGGGCGUGGCCAGCAAUGGUCUGCUCGGGUUUGAACUUGCAUAAACUUGGUGCCUAUGAUUAGGG